AGAGUUUGAUCCUGGCUCAGGAUGAACGCUGGCGGCGUGCUUAACACAUGCAAGUCGAACGAAGCAUUUAAGACAGAUUUUUUCGGAAUGAAGUUUUUUAUGACUGAGUGGCGGACGGGUGAGUAACGCGUGGGUAACCUGCCUCACACAGGGGGAUAGCAGUUGGAAACGACUGGUAAUACCGCAUAAGCGCACAGCUUCGCAUGAAGCGGUGUGAAAAACUCCGGUGGUGUGAGAUGGACCCGCGUCUGAUUAGGUAGUUGGUGAGGUAACGGCCCACCAAGCCGACGAUCAGUAGCCGACCUGAGAGGGUGACCGGCCACAUUGGGACUGAGACACGGCCCAGACUCCUACGGGAGGCAGCAGUGGGGAAUAUUGCACAAUGGAGGAAACUCUGAUGCAGCGACGCCGCGUGAGUGAAGAAGUAUUUCGGUAUGUAAAGCUCUAUCAGCAGGGAAGACAGUGACGGUACCUGACUAAGAAGCUCCGGCUAAAUACGUGCCAGCAGCCGCGGUAAUACGUAUGGAGCAAGCGUUAUCCGGAUUUACUGGGUGUAAAGGGAGUGUAGGUGGUAUCACAAGUCAGAAGUGAAAGCCCGGGGCUCAACCCCGGGACUGCUUUUGAAACUGUGGAACUGGAGUGCAGGAGAGGUAAGUGGAAUUCCUAGUGUAGCGGUGAAAUGCGUAGAUAUUAGGAGGAACACCAGUGGCGAAGGCGGCUUACUGGACUGUAACUGACACUGAGGCUCGAAAGCGUGGGGAGCAAACAGGAUUAGAUACCCUGGUAGUCCACGCCGUAAACGAUG
rnacentral:rRNA from 1 species